GGGCCCGUGGCCAAGUCUGGAUUAAGGCGCUGGCCUCCGGAGCCAGAGAGCGUGGGUUCAAAUCCCACCGGGCCCGCCA
rnacentral:tRNA from 1 species